UUAAAGAUUCAUCGCUGAUAGAUAGGCAUGCGUUCCAUUAGGCAGUUGGCGGGGUAACGGCCCACCAAACCGACGAUGGAUAGGGGUUCUGAGAGGAAGGUCCCCCACAUUGGUACUGAGACACGGACCAAACUCCUACGGGAGGCAGCAGUGAGGAAUAUUGGUCAAUGGCCGAGAGGCUGAACCAGCCAAGUCGCGUGAAGGAAGAAGGAUCUAUGGUUUGUAAACUUCUUUUAUAGGGGAAUAAAGUGGAGGACGUGUCCUUUUUUGUAUGUACCCUAUGAAUAAGCAUCGGCUAACUCCGUGCCAGCAGCCGCGGUAAUACGGAGGAUGCGAGCGUUAUCCGGAUUUAUUGGGUUUAAAGGGUGCGUAGGUGGUGAUUUAAGUCAGCGGUGAAAGUUUGUGGCUCAACCAUAAAAUUGCCGUUGAAACUGGGUUACUUGAGUGUGUUUGAGGUAGGCGGAAUGCGUGGUGUAGCGGUGAAAUGCAUAGAUA
rnacentral:rRNA from 1 species